rnacentral:lncRNA from 10 species
UCCCAUCUCUUGGACAGAUGAUGCCAGUUAAUUACUUUGAAUAGAAGACUCACUGGUGGCACCUGCAGCUGCGGCGUUUUCCCCAAGCUGGUCUGUGGAGAAGCCUGGGACAGAAAGAAGCAGCCAGACUCCAGAAUCCCCCAUUUUAAUAGCUAUUCUAUGCUAUGUCCCCGUCUUAUUCCUGGCAACUUACCUCUCAGCUCGUGCACUGUGACAUUACAGCAAGAAGUACUAAUAUAAAUGACACAAAAGAA